rnacentral:tRNA from 1 species
GUGGGUGUAGCUCAGUGGUAGAGCACAUGCUCAGUAUACAUGAGGUUCUGGGUUCAAUCUCCAGUACCUCCA